AGCUGUGGCUCAGUGGUGGAGCAUCUGCUCUGCAUGUAGAAGGUCCCAGGUUCAACCUGCAGCAUCUCCUGGUAGGGCUG